CUCCUGUUCAUCCUCCAGGUCAUCCAGCAGGACCACGGAGCCACCACUGCCAAAAUCCCCUGAGGUUUCCUGCUCCUCUUCUGGUACAAGAAGAAAAGGCUAAAGGUCUUGUGGCAGGAGAGAAAGAGGACUGGAACCAUCCUAAGAAAGUAAAACACAGGCCUCCAGAGACCACUAGGAAGAUGCACAAGAGAUCUGGAGACACAGUGUGAAGAACAAGUGAGAGAAUGACUUUUACCUAUAUUUUGUCACCACCCCACUGACAGUGUGGCAGCUCUCUUCACCCCUCUCAGCCAGAGUCCUCGGAUGUAAGUUAUAUAUUGUAUGGGCCAGCAAAGGAUGCUACAGGAAGCCACAUGGCUAAACGUGGGCUGUAGGGAAGAAUAUGGCACUCUUGCCUCCUCAGAAAAGAACAAUGCACAAUUCCAAGCACAAUGGCAAAAGACCUCACAAAUCCUUUGGAGACUGACCAUCACAUGCCUUUGCAAGCCUGGUGUCUCUGGAGGGUUUGCUGCUUGCUCCAGGUCACCCUGGUAUGGCAGCAUGUCCUGUCCUCUCAGUUAUGAGAGCUGGCAUUCACUGCCUCUUUCUAUAGGUCCCAUGCAAACAGAUGAAGAAACUGAGCACCUAUUACCCUGUAGAUUACUGUGCCACCUGGUCUUGCUGCUUGUUCUGCAAGAGAAAUUGUUGCAAAACACAUUUGUUGACUUAUGACUUUCAGAUGCUUUCAGAGUAAAGAAGAAAGUUCCAAGCUGAAAAUUACAAUAGAAAAAGAGAAACAAAUUGCUUAUGUUAUUAUAAAAGGGAGCAUUUACUAUGGCAGCAUUUGCUGAAUUGCUAGAAGGUGCCAGGUAUUGUUCUAGAACUUUAUAUGUCUUUACUCUUCACAAACGCCACAAUAAAACAGGGACUGAUAUUA